UAAUAAUGCAAGUAAUAAUUGCUAAUAACAUUUUACAUCACGGUUUCUUGUAUAGACACGGACCGACCAAUUUUGUUCCGGUGUAAUGGAAAUGUCUUGUUUUGCCCGUGGCACGUUUCGCCGUCACAGUUAUCGUUAGCUGUCAUUUUAACGGUAUUUCGAUUAUGGCAAUUUUAAUCAUCUAUACGGUGCGGACAUUAAACAAAUAAUGUUAACGUUAAUCAUUCGGUAUGGACGAAGUGAGUGUUUGAGGACGAAAUACAAUAAUACAGUAUUGUUAUAUUUGCGUU